AGAGCGAACGCUGGCGGCAGGCCUAACACAUGCAAGUCGAGCGCCCCGCAAGGGGAGCGGCAGACGGGAGAGUAACACGUGGGAACGUACCCUUCAGUUCGGAACAACCCAGGGAAACUUGGGCUAAUACCGAAUACGUCCGUAAGGAGAAAGAUUUAUCGCUGAAGGAUCGGCCCGCGUCUGAUUAGCUUGUUGGUGAGGUAACGGCUCACCAAGGCGACGAUCAGUAGCUGGUCUGAGAGGAUGAUCAGCCUCACUGGGACUGAGACACGGCCCAGACUCCUACGGGAGGCAGCAGUGGGGAAUAUUGGACAAUGGGCGCAAGCCUGAUCCAGCCAUGCCGCGUGGGUGAUGAAGGCCCUAGGGUUGUAAAGCCCUUUCGGGCGGGAAGAUAAUGACGGUACCCGCAGAAGAAGCCCCGGCUAACUUCGCGCCAGCAGCCGC
rnacentral:rRNA from 1 species